GAGGAAUAUUGGUCAAUGGGCGCAAGCCUGAACCAGCCAUCCCGCGUGCAGGAAGACGGCCCUAUGGGUUGUAAACUGCUUUUCCAGGGGGAGAAACUUGCGCACGUGUUGCGCAAUUGACGGUACCCUGGGAAUAAGCAUCGGCUAACUCCGUGCCAGCAGCCGCGGUAAUACGGAGGAUGCGAGCGUUAUCCGGAUUCAUUGGGUUUAAAGGGUGCGUAGGCGGACUAUUAAGUCAGUGGUGAAAUCCUGCAGCUUAACUGCAGAACUGCCAUUGAUACUGAUAGCCUUGAGUUUGGUUAAGGUAGGCGGAAUGUGUAAUGUAGCGGUGAAAUGCUUAGAUAUUACACAGAACACCAAUUGCGUAGGCAGCUUACUGAGCCGACACUGACGCUGAGGCACGAAAGCGUGGGGAUCGAAC
rnacentral:rRNA from 1 species